UAUGUGAUCGUCUCUCGCAUAUCAAUAAGCGGAGGAAAAGAAACUAACAAGGAUUCCCCUAGUAACGGCGAGUGAAGCGGGAAGAGCUCAAAUUUGAAAUCUUAAAGGGUUUCCCUUUACGAAUUGUAGUUUAAAGAAGUGUUUUCUGUUGAGGUUUUGGUAAAAGUUCUUUGGAAUAGGACAUCAUAGAGGGUGAGAAUCCCGUAUUUGACCUUUACUUUCAACUUUGUGAUACACUUUCAAAGAGUCGGAUUGUUUGGGAAUGCAGUCCAAAAUGGGUGGUAAAUUUCAUCUAAAGCUAAAUAUUGGCGAGAGACCGAUAGCGAACAAGUACCGUGAGGGAAUGAUGAAAAGAACUUUGAAAAGAGAGUUAAACAGUACGUGAAAUUGUCAAAAGGGAAGCGUUUGACACCAGUGUUGUUUUUCUGAAAAUCAAUUAAAGAACUGUUUAUGCUAAGUUGUUUAGACUUUAUCAGCUAUCUGUUUAGUUUUGAGCUUUUCUUUAAUGCACUUUUCAGUUAACAAGUCAACAUCAAUUUCUUUUGCUGUAAAAAAGCUUGAGGAAGGUGGCUUGAGAUUCGUCUUAAGUGUUUAUAGCCUCUUGCCUAUGCAGUCGGAGAGAUUGAGGUCUGCAGCGUAGAUCCUUCGGGGCUAAAUGCAUUUGUGCUAGUUAUAGCAUUUUAUAGACAACUUGUUGACUAUGAUUUGUCUUGUAGCUUACUCGCUUAUGUUAUUUUACCUACGCUUAGGAUGUUGAUCUACAGAGCGAGAGU
rnacentral:rRNA from 1 species